AUACGGAGGAUCCGAGCGUUAUCCGGAUUUAUUGGGUUUAAAGGGUGCGUAGGUGGUUUGAUUAGUCAGCGGUGAAAGUUUGCAGCUUAACUGUAAAAAUGCCGUUGAAACUGUCGGACUUGAGUGUAAAUGAGGUAGGCGGAAUGCGUGGUGUAGCGGUGAAAUGCAUAGAUAUCACGCAGAACUCCGAUUGCGAAGGCAGCUUACUAAGCUACAGCUGACACUGAAGCACGAAAGCGUGGGGAUCAAACAGGAUUAGAUACCCUGGUAGUCCACGCAGUAAACGAUGAUUACUAGCUGUUUGCGAUACACAGUAAGCGGCACAGCGAAAGCGUUAAGUAAUCCACCUGGGGAGUACGCCGGCAACGGUGAAACUCAAAUGAAUUGACGGGG
rnacentral:rRNA from 1 species